rnacentral:rRNA from 1 species
UACGUAGGGUGCGAGCGUUAAUCGGAAUUACUGGGCGUAAAGCGUGCGCAGGCGGUUCGUUAAGUCAGCUGUGAAAGCCCCGGGCUCAACCUGGGAAUUGCGGUUGAAACUGGCGAACUAGAAUCUGGCAGAGGGGGGUGGAAUUCCACGUGUAGCAGUGAAAUGCGUAGAUAUCGAGAGGAACACCUGCGGCGAAGGCGGGUUGCUGGGCUGAUACUGACGCUGAGGCGCGAAAGCCAGGGGAGCGAACGGG